UUACUGAGUGACUUUUGGUUCCCGAUUUUGGGACCGGUUACCCGACCUUAUGUCAUAAGCACCGUUUCGAGUUGGGAGUCGUGUCGCGACGCUGGAUGCCCGCCUUGCGGCGGGAGGAAGGUGGAGGGAGACGAGGACGACGAGGACGGAAGGUAUAUUUCGGCGGAGGUGGUAGGAAGGGCUUCUUUUUCUCUCUCUCUCUGUGGAGGGGAAGGGGGACCGACGUGCCCGCCGCCGGCGGUAUUUCCAACUCUUGUGAGGAAGCGUGAAGUCUGAAGCGAAAAGGAGAAACGAGCGAAAAGCAAAACUUUCAACAACGGAUCUCUUGGCUCUGGCAACGAUGAAGAACGCAGCGAAACGCGAAAGGUAAUGCGAAUUGCAGAAUCAGUGAGUCAUCGAAUCUUUGAACGCACAUUGCGCCUCUCGGUAUUCCGGGAGGCACGCCUGUUCGAGCGCCAUUACACACUCCAAGCGGCAGCUUGAUGUUGGGCGACGUCCGAAGACCGCGAGUGGACCUCUCUUUUCCGCGAGAGCGGGGCGGGGGGGGAUAGGCUCAUGGGGAGGACGCGCCUGGAACACGUGGGCGGCGGACGCCAGACCGCGAGCGUAGCAAGACGAGAGCAUCACGUCACCCGCUCGGACGGAUUUGGUGGACGACCAGUCUCGUCUCAUUUUAGAAUGUGUCUUAACGAGUUUGGCCUCGGAUCAGGCGGGGAUACCCGCUGAACUUAAGCAUAUCAAUAA
rnacentral:misc_RNA from 1 species